GACAGAGGGUGCAAACGUUGUUCGGAAUUACUGGGCGUAAAGCGUGUGUAGGCGGUCCGCUAAGUCGGGUGUGAAAUCCCUGGGCUCAACCCAGGAAGUGCACCCGAAACUGGCGGGCUAGAGUAUCGGAGAGGUUGGUGGAAUUCUCGGUGUAGAGGUGAAAUUCGUAGAUAUCGAGAGGAACACCUGCGGCGAAGGCGGGUUGCUGGGCCGACACUGACGCUGAGGCGCGAAAGCUAGGGGAGCGAACGGG
rnacentral:rRNA from 1 species